CGACUGCUAAGACUGGAUAGUAGACAAGAAGGCAUCUUCUUGUUUUUAAAAGACCUAUUAAUAGGUAUGCUUAGGGAGGAGCUUGCGUCACAUUAGUUAGUUGGUGGGGUAAAGGCCUACCAAGACUAUGAUGUGUAGCCGGGCUGAGAGGUUGAACGGCCACAUUGGGACUGAGACACGGCCCAAACUCCUACGGGAGGCAGCAGUAGGGAAUUUUCGGCAAUGGAGGAAACUCUGACCGAGCAACGCCGCGUGAACGAUGAAGUAUUUCGGUACGUAAAGUUCUUUUAUUAGGGAAGAAUAAAUGAUGGAAAAAUCAUUCUGACGGUACCUAAUGAAUAAGCCCCGGCUAACUAUGUGCCAGCAGCCGCGGUAAUACGUAGGGGGCAAGCGUUAUCCGGAAUUAUUGGGCGUAAAGGGUGCGUAGGCUGUUAAAUAAGUUUAUGGUCUAAGUGCAAUGCUCAACAUUGUGAUGCUAUAAAAACUGUUUAGCUAGAGUAAGAUAGAGGCAAGUGGAAUUCCAUGUGUAGUGGUAAAUGCGUAAAUAUAUGGAGGAACACCAGUAGCGAAGGCGGCUUGCUGGGUCUUUACUGACGCUGAGGCACGAAAGCGUGGGGAGCAAACAGGAUUAGAUACCCUGGUAGUCCACGCCGUAAACGAUGAGUACUAAACGUUGGGUAAAACCAGUGUUGAAGUUAACACACUAAGUACUCCGCCUGAGUAGUACGUACGCAAGUAUGAAACUUAAAGGAAUUGACGGGACUCCGCACAAGCGGUGGAUCAUGUUGUUUAAUUCGAAGGUACCCGAAAAACCUCACCAGGUCUUGACAUGCUUCUGCAAAGCUGUAGAAACACAGUGGAGGUUAUCAGUUGCACAGGUGGUGCAUGGGUUGUCGUCAGCUCGUG
rnacentral:rRNA from 1 species